rnacentral:rRNA from 1 species
CCUACGGGUGGCAGCAGUGAGGAAUAUUGGGCAAUGGGCGAGAGCCCGAACCAGCCAAGUCGCGUGAGGGAGUACUGCCCUAUGGUUUGUAAACCUCUUUUGUCGGGGAGCAAAAGCCGGACGUGUCCGGCUGUGAGAGUACCCGAAGAAAAAGCAUCGGCUAACUCCGUGCCAGCAGCCGCGGUAAUACGGAGGAUGCGAGCGUUAUCCGGAUUUAUUGGGUUGAAAGGGUACGCAGGCGGGUUUUUAAGUCAGCGGUCAAAUCGUGGGGCUAAACCCCAUCCAGCCGUUGAAACUGGGGAUCUAGAGUGUGCGAGAGGUAGGCGGAAUGCGUGGUGUAGCGGUGAAAUGCAUAGAUAUCAGGCAGAACCCCGAUUGCAAAGGCAGCAUACUGGUGCACAACUGACGCUCAGGCACGAAAGCGUGGGGAUCGAACAGGAUUAGAUACCCGUGUAGUC